rnacentral:rRNA from 1 species
AGAGUUUGAUCAUGGCUCAGGACGAACGCUGGCGGUGUGCUUCACACAUGCAAGUCGAACGGGGUAGCAAUACCCAGUGGCGGACGGGUGAGUAACACGUGGGAAUCUACCAUUAGAUGGGGAAUAACAGGCCGAAAGGACUGCUAAUGCCGCAUAUGUAUGUAUCUCGACAGAGGUGUAUAUGAAAGGAGUAAUCCGUCUGAUGAUGAGCCCGCGUCCGAUUAGCUAGUUGGUAAGGUAAAAGCUUACCAAGGCGACGAUCGGUAGGUGGUCUGAGAGGAUGAUCACCCACAAUGGGACUGAGACACGGCCCAUACUCCUACGGGAGGCAGCAGUGGGGAAUUUUACGCAAUGGGGGAAACCCUGACGUAGCGACACCGCGUGAGCGAAGAAGCCCUUUGGGGUGUAAAGCUCUGUCAACAGGAACGAAAAAAAUGACGGUACCUGUGGAGGAAGCAUCGGCUAACUACGUGCCAGCAGCCGCGGUAAGACGUAGGAUGCAAGCGUUGUCCGGAUUUAUUGGGCGUAAAGAGUUCGUAGGCGGUUUGUUAAGUCUGAUGUUAAAGACCGGGGCUCAACCUCGGAAAUGCAUUGGAUACUGGCAGACUGGAGUGCAGUAGAGGCUAGUGGAAUUCCCAGUGUAGCGGUGAAAUGCGUAGAUAUUGGGAAGAACACCGGUGGCGUAGGCGACUAGCUGGGCUGUAACUGACGCUGAGGAACGAAAGCCAGGGGAGCAAAUGGGAUUAGAUACCCCAGUAGUCCUGGCCGUAAACGAUGGAUACUAGGCGUAGUGGGUAUCGACCCCUGCUGUGCCGCAGCUAACGCGAUAAGUAUCCCGCCUGAGUAGUACGGCCGCAAGGUUGAAACUCAAAGGAAUUGACGG